rnacentral:lncRNA from 1 species
GAACACUGCGGCUCUCGCCCAGCUGGAGCUCUGGCUGCCGUGCCCAAGUGAGCCCCGAGGGUUUCUUUGUGAGCUGAGCCCGAGCACGACGCCUGCUGCACGCCACGCUGUGAGGAGCAAGCGCUCUGCCGUCCCACACUAGCUGGACGUUUUCAGUAGACAUCCAAAUGUGGAAAACCAUCUUCUAACCAAAGCAGUAUGUCCGUGCCGCACAGCACCAUACCAGUGAGCAUGAAGAAAAUACACUCUAUCCCAGCUGAAACCAGGACACGGUGGUAUUACAAAGUGGCAUUUCAAGGCAAUGCAUGAAUCCAGCAGGUCUUCAGGUGGCAUUUCAAGGGCGCAGUGGGGCAUGGAGGCUGGCAGUGGCAGGAGCAGUCAUAAAACAGGACGCGCAGAAAGGAUUGACCUGAGCUGAAGGAUGCAUUUAAGUGCUGCUGACCUUGUCAUCAAGCCUUAAGAUGAGACAUCUGCCGAGAUGAGCUCUGUUUAUGGCAGUGGCCACCCCCAGCCCCAGUUUGCCCCAGCAGCACCGGUGCUUGCCCAGCACCAGGACCGCAGCCUGCUCCCAGAAGGGCAGAGCGAGACAAGGAUGGGUCACACCGGAUGGGCUGGGGAAGAGAAAAGGAGAAAGACGACUUCCAUCAUCGUCCUGUCUGACUGGGAACCAUCGUGGAGACAUCAGUGGUGCCAAGCGACAGUCGGUCCCUGAGUUUACAGCACGCAGAGGCAAUGAAGUUCUACACAGUGCCCAGCAUCUCCUACUAAAAUUGUGUCACCCUGAUGAUCACAGGAGUCCGGUGCACGUCUCGCUCGUCUGCGUGUCAGAAGGCAGACUGCUCACCGGCAGAGGGUGGAUGUCGGAAUUUCCCUGUGAGGCCAUUAAACAAGGCUGCUGA